rnacentral:rRNA from 1 species
GACGAACGCUGGCGGCGUGCCUAAUACAUGCAAGUUGAGCGAUGAAGAUUGGUGCUUGCACCCAUUUGAAGAGCAGCGAACGGGUGAGUAACGCGUGGGGAAUCUGCCUUUGAGCGGGGGACAACAUUUGGAAACGAAUGCUAAUACCGCAUAACAACUUUAAACAUAAGUUUUAAGUUUGAAAGAUGCAAUUGCAUCACUCAAAGAUGAUCCCGCGUUGUAUUAGCUAGUUGGUGAGGUAAAGGCUCACCAAGGCGAGGAUACAUAGCCGACCUGAGAGGGUGAUCGGCCACAUUGGGACGGAGACACGGCCCAAACUCCUACGGGAGGCAGCAGUAGGGAAUCUUCGGCAAUGGACGAAAGUCUGACCGAGCAACGCCGCGUGAGUGAAGAAGGGUGUCGGAUCGUAAAACUCUGUUGGUAGAGAAGAACGUUGGUGAGAGUGGAAAGCUCAUCAAGUGACGGUAACUACACAGAAAGGGACGGCUAACUACGUG